rnacentral:rRNA from 1 species
UAGGGAAUCUUCCGCAAUGGACGAAAGUCUGACGGAGCAACGCCGCGUGAGUGAAGAAGGAUUUCGGUUCGUAAAACUCUGUUGUUAGGGAAGAAAAAAUGUAUAGUAACUAUAUACAAAAGAGACGGUACCUAACCAGAAAGCCACGGCUAACUACGUGCCAGCAGCCGCGGUAAUACGUAGGUGGCAAGCGUUGUCCGGAAUUAUUGGGCGUAAAGCGCGCGCAGGUGGUUUAGAAAGUCUGAUGUGAAAGCCCACGGCUCAACCGUGGAGGGUCAUUGGAAACUAAUAAACUUGAGUGCAGGAGAGAAAAGUGGAAUUCCUAGUGUAGCGGUGAAAUGCGUAGAGAUUAGGAGGAACACCGGUGGCGAAAGCGGCUUUUUGGCUGCAACUGACACUGAGGCGCGAAAGCGUGGGGAGCAAACAGG